rnacentral:rRNA from 1 species
UCCUACGGGAGGCAGCAGUGGGGAAUAUUGGGCAAUGGGCGAAAGCCUGACCCAGCAACGCCGCGUGAGGGAAGAAGGUUUUCGGAUUGUAAACCUCUGUCCUCAGGGACGAAGGAAGUGACGGUACCUGAGGAGGAAGCCCCGGCUAACUACGUGCCAGCAGCCGCGGUAAUACGUAGGGGGCGAGCGUUGUCCGGAAUUACUGGGCGUAAAGGGUGCGCAGGCGGUUUUUUAAGUUGGAUGUGAAAUACCCGGGCUUAACCUGGGGGGUGCAUCCAAAACUGGGAGACUAGAGUACAGGAGAGGGAAGCGGAAUUCCUAGUGUAGCGGUGAAAUGCGUAGAUAUUAGGAGGAACACCGGUGGCGAAGGCGGCUUUCUGGACUGAAACUGACGCUGAGGCACGAAAGCGUGGGGAGCAAACAGGAUUAGAUACCCCGGUAGC